CAGAUUGUAUUUUAGAACGUCCGUGGCUUGAAUAACCGCGCGAAGCGUACGGCCGUCCGAAGCGCGCUAUCCGCUUCCCCUCCUUGUAUCGUCUGUCUCAAGGAAACAAAGCUUUCAUUGGUCUCGUUGGAUCUUGUAAUUGAAACUUUAGGCCCCCGCUUCCAGGAUUUCUUCUUUCUCCCCGUGGACGGCACCCGUGGCGGAAUUCUCAUUGCUUGGCAACGUACCCUGGCGACUCUUUCCAACCCUUCCAUCGGCUACCACCACGUCACGCUCCUUGUGACCUCGCCCUCCGCAAAUCAGCACUGGUGGCUUAUGGGAGUGUAUGGUCUGCAAGGGGACACUGAUAAGAUUAGCUUCCUCAACGAGCUACACGAUCUCUGUGACAUUAUCGCCGGCCCUUGGUUGCUCGGGGGAGACUUCAACAUGAUCUUAAGCGCCGAGGACAAGAACAACAAUUGGCUGAACCGUCACAUCAUGCAUCGUUUCCGGCGCUUUGUGGCGGACAUGGAGCUCCAUGAUAUGUACCUUCACGGCCAAUGGUAUACAUGGUCGAAUGAGCAGGAUUCCCCGACGCUUGUGCAUAAUGAUAGAGUGCUUUGCACCCCCUCCUGGGAGACGGUGCACCCCACUUGCAUGCUUCGUUGCUUAGCCUCCACCACUUCCGAUCACUGUCCCCCAGUGGUCGACUGCACCCCGCGCUCACGGGCCCCCAGGCGUUUCCACUUCGAGUGA
rnacentral:rRNA from 1 species